AUGGAGCCCUCUUCCUGCUCCAUCCUGCCGGGUGCCCGGGCCGUGCGGGUCCCUUGGCCUGGGCAGGGGGUCCCUGAGGCGGGGGCACCUCCGCCCGCCGCUGUCUCCCCGGCUCGGCGGCUCCGCAUCCCGCUCUCCUGUUGCUCAGAGAUGUGGAGGCAGUUGCUAAGAGACACCGACACGUCAGUAUCUGGCCCUAAGGAAAAAAAGAGGAAAAAAAAAAAAAAAAGAGACAGAGAAAGAGAGAGACAAGGGAGGACGAGGAGGAGGAGGGGAGGAAGGAGGUGGGGAAAGACCUGCUCCCAUCGCCGGGCUCGCAGCAGCCUUGGCCGCCGCUGCCGAAGCCCAGCUCCCGACUUGGCGGCCUCUGGGGUGUGGCCGGCCACCGGGGACCCUCACAUCACCGCUGGAGCUCCCCACAUCGCCACUCAGGAGCCCCACAUCACCAAAGGGAGCCAGGCCCUGCUCCUUCCCUGGCCAGUGAGUAACCCAGGGCAGCCCGGCCUCACCGGAGGGGUCGGGGCGCUUGGGGAUGGGGAGCGACCGGGUAAGGUGGGCCGGUGGGAGGGGAUGGAGCUGGGGGGUGCGGGCAAGGGAGGAUGGAGCAGACAUGGUCAGGUGGUGGGGGGCGAGGGCAGGCCUGGAGGGAUCCUGGUGGGUGCUGGGAAUGGGGAUCUUCCCCCGGGAGAGAGGCGGGGAGGGUGUCCCUGGCACCGGGCUCAGCUCGUGGUGUGGGGGCUGGCGGGGGGCCGUGGAGCAGCACCUCUGCCCACCGCCGGCCGAGAUGGGCUGGCCAAGGUCAGCAGGACUGGGGUGCCCUUUUCCGUCGGGAAUCCCGGGGGGAUGCUUGGAGGAGUGACCCUGCCCGGGGGGCACGGGGAGGGCACGGGUGCCCCAGAGGCCGCCCCGGGCCGCGACAGCCGCGGUCCCCCCGCGGGGCUUGCGGCCGGCACGGCUUCCCCCCUCUCCGCUCGCUCGCAGGCAGCUGGUGACGGCCCGACGCCGGCCCCGCCGGUGCCCCCGGAGGGGUUGGCAUGCCGCCGGGAUGCCGGGAACGACGCUGUGACCGCCGGCAGCCCUCGGCGUGAGCGGGCGGGCGGGAUGGCCGGCGGCGCCCCGUGA
rnacentral:lncRNA from 1 species